rnacentral:rRNA from 1 species
UAGUAGCGGAAAGGUUUCAGAAGGGUGAACCUGCG